GACUUUGGCCUUCCAUGGUGUAAUUUAGGUUUUUGUACACAACUGAAGAUAAAAUAAACUGAGUUCUGUAGGUAUACCAGGUUUAAAUUCGUUGUAAGGACACAUGGCGGAGUCAAGAAACAAAAGAAAGAAGACAACUUCACAGCACGACGACCCAAACUGAACCCAACUUGGCAGAAGAAAACGUCAAGCAACAAUAUCGUGAGGUGACACUAAGCAAAAAAAUGAAACUCUAUACCUUAGGAUAAGACAGAACAUCAAAAAGAGGACAUCAACAGGCCGACAGCUGAAAAAACAUGAGCAGGAUUUAUUGAUAAAAAACUGACAAAUAGAGUAUAUUACUGACAAACAUCAGGAAACAGACGGCUGACAUGCAGAGUCAGAAGACGGCUAUUGAAAAGCAAAGAGAAGAGUUGGACAACCUGCUCAACAUGAUCAAGAAAGAAGUGAGAGAGUUGGAAGUAAUAAAUACUGAGACUGAGAUAAAGAAAAAACACCUGGUGAAAAUAAUAAGAAUGAGCAGAAGAAAAGAGAUGAAGACAAAUACUAAGGCUGCUAAGCAAAGUAUGGAAGAGGGAACAGAGCAGAAACCAGAGGUGGAAAUACAGGGCAGGAUUAAUAGGCAAAGGCCAAGUCAUGGGGAGUUUCACGGAACCAAAGAAAUAACUCAACCUAUCUCAGCAGAAGACAAUAUAGAGAUGCAGAGAAUGAUUUUGGAAAUAGAAGAGAUCAGAAGGAUGCUGCACAAGUUUAAAGAAGAUACAACUCUAAGCACUAGAAAGGAGACAACACAAAUGAAAUGGCUGAAUUUUCAUUUUAAAAAAGGGAAACAGAAGUUGGAGCAGUUCAUGGAGAAGACUACAAAAGAGAGAGAUGAGCUAGAAAUCAUAAAGAAAAGAACACAACAACAAAGGAAGGAGCUUGAACAGAAAUUGGAAGAUACUUUUAAAAGAAUUCUGACUAUAAGUGAGUUAACACAAAUGAGAAAGUUUGCUACAGAGAUAAACAACACCCGAGAAGAACUCCUAAAAACAAAAAAUGAAACACAAAACUACAAGGAAGAAGUCAAAAAAUACACAGACAAGCUGACAUCCAUGAAAACGCAGGUCAGCAGAUGGAUAUUGACAGAAUCUGCAAACAAGCCACUCUGUUUUUACCUGCAGAAACCAUCAAAAGAGAAAGACAUAAACUCUCUCAUAGGUCAAACAGCACCAAAUGCAACAAACAAAGAUGGAGCAGUACCUCAAAUAAAAGAAGGAGAUGAAGCAAUGGCUUUACAACAAUCUUUUACAGUGGAAGACCAAUAUCAAAGUGAAGAAACAAUAGAAGAAUGGAACACGCAAUCAAACUACAAGCAAGAUUUUGGAGUGGACUUUAAGGAAGAGCAGAAUUUGUUUUUACAAAUGCACAAAGACAUUCACGAAGAAUCACUGAUAGAUGAUAAAGUAAUAAUGCAUAAAACAGAAAAGGAACAAGUUAAAAAUCAACUCCUAAAAUUCAAGAACCAAAAGGAGGAAAUCAAAAAGGAAAUUAAGAACAGUAUGAAAAGCAUGAAGGGGAAACAUCAAGAAAUUGAUCAGCUCAUUAAAGAAAUAAAAGACUUUCAGAGACCAGAGAUAGAAACUGGGUUACAAACUGCAGGUAGGGAAAUAAAUAAUAUCGGCAUAGGGAAAGCUAGACUAAGAGGAAAAAUAGACAGUGACAUUUGGAGAGUAAAAAACAAUAUUUAUAAAGAACAAAUUAAAUAUGAACUCCAAAUGCAAGAAAGGGAUAAUGACAGUAAGGUGAAACAAGAAAAGAAACAUGAUUCUGAAUUGAUGACAGUGGAUGAUUAUAAAAAAAUAAUUCUUGAAUCAAAGGAGUUCCAUCCUGAGGUGACAGAUGGUUAUUCCAACAAAAAAGACACAGGAAUGGACACAGCUAGUCUACAAACACUCAGGACAGAAGUUUAUAAAACACAAAAAAUCAUGAGAUCUGUAAUUCUAAAACUUGACACCCAAAAAAGUGAAAAUGUUGGAAAAGAUUAUAAUCAACCUCAAGAUGGUGAAAUUGAGGGAUUGUUAGAGGAUGUUAAAAAGUUCCAAGAUAUUUUAAAAAUGGUGACAACUGAAGUGGUAAAAAAUGAGAUCUCUUUGAGAAACGAAAGGAGCAACAUAAAAUUUGAAGCAAAAAGACUCAAAAGAGACCUGGCUCAGAAGUUGGAGAAAAUUCUGUGUGAAAAAGAUGAAUUAGAUAUUUUUAAAAUGCAAAUAAAGAAACGAGCAGAAGCAAUUCAACAGAAGAUGGAGAAAAUGAACAAGGUUAAGAGUGCUGUGGAGGAAAUGGCUGUUAAGUCUAAAAUUAAGCAGGAAGACAUGAAGAUUAUUUUUAGGAAUACCCAAGAAAAGCUGAGACACUUAGAGGGGUGUAAUGAAAAGACUGAUGAUGCAAUACAACACCUACAAAACAGUUUUAUUUUAAUAACUAAAAGAAAAGUUCAAUUAGAAGAAACCUUAAGACUCAAAAAACAACAGGUCCAGGUGGAGGUAUACAAAGUAAAAAGUUUGAGGAACAAUAUCAAAAGUGAGACUAAGAAGCCUGGUGACAGAGUACAACCAAUAAAAAGAAAAAUAGGUCCAGAAAUAGACCUGUUGAAAUCAGAGUUUGGAAUAAAGAGACAAAAAUGCGGAAAGACAAAAGAAAAGAAAUUACUCAGGAAAGUGACCAGAAGGAAAAGAGGAUUAGAUUCAACCUUGAGACAACCAGGUAAAUUAGAACAACUAAAACCUGAGGAUCAGUGUAUUAAACAUCAAAUGAGUGAUAUCCAAUUAUUCAAACAGCAUACAUGGCUGGAAAAGCGUCAGAUAAUAAAGAUGAAUACAACUCCUGAUGAUUCAAAAGUUAUAUCUUCUGUUUUUGACCUUGAAAUCAUUAGACAAAAAAUUCAUUCAAAUUUGGAGGUAAUAAAAAAGAACACUGGACUACUAGCUGAUGUAAAUAUCCAUUUAGAAAAACAAAGAGAAUGUCUCCAAAACUUAAAAGAUCACAGUAAGGCCAUAAUAAAAUGCAUGAUAAGGAACAAAGAAACUGUUAGGGUCAAAGCAGAAAAGAAUGAGGAAGACAACCGCCAAAAAGAAAAACAAAAACUUGAAAACACACUUGAGGCAAUACGAAGAGAAAAAAAAGAGAUGGAAGUGCUGAAGGCUGAGCUGGACUUCACAAAAAAAGAAAAUCAACAAAUGAUGAGACGAGGUAUUCGAAAAGACCAUGAGGUGAAAAUGAUGUGGGCUGAGAUUAAAGAAGAAAAAGAUGCUCGCAAGAGAAAACAAAGAAGAAACAAAGAGCUUGAUGAAAAGCUAGAGAGGAUGACCAAAAAAAAAGAAGAACUGAAAAUCAUGAAGCUUAAAAUGGAAAGAGGAAAAGAUGACACAACAGGUGGAACAAGACUGUCAAGGAUAUCAAUCACUGCAAAUGUUCCAAUGCAACUUUCAUGUACGUGGGUACUUUUUUCUAAAUGGACAGAAAAGUGUAACCAAAUGAAAAGACAGAUUUCUGAUUUCUACAAGACCAAAAAUAAUGAAAAUGCUUGCAUUAAACAUGAAACAAAAAUAACAUUGCAGGCAAAAGAAGACAUUAAAAACAUCAAGGAACAAAUUACCAAACAAAAAGAAUGUAUUCAAGGUGCUUUAAAAAGUGUGAAAAAAAGGGAACAAUGUUUGAUACAUUCAGAAACAGAAAAACUGCUAAGAAACAAAAACCUUCUAGAGGUUCUAAAAGAAAAACUUCAGCAUUUGAGUGAAAGGAUGACUGGUGCCAUUGCAGACAAACUUAGGAGGCUACAAAAGGACAAUGGAAAUGUAGUGAAGCUGGUCAGUCAUUUAGAACAAGAGCAUAUCUCUCUAGAUUCCCUGAAAACACAUAUGCUUUUCUACUCUGAAAUACUGCAGAAGGCAAAAGAAGGAUACAUAUGCCUGAUAACAGACUUUGCCAGGCAACAAGAAGAAACAAGAGAUCAACUGAUGCACCAGCUUGUAUUGGAAAAGCAAGAAAGGGAAACUCUGAAAAACUGGCUGAAGAAAGACAGAGACAAUCUGGAAAGAGAGAAAAAUGGCAUGAAUCAAGAAAAAGAAAACUUGUUGCAGAAACAACAAGAGUGUGAAACCCUAAAAGACGAGCUGAAGAAAGACAAAGGGAAUGUGGAAAGAGAUAAAAAUGGCAUGAAUCAGGUAAAAGAUUACUUGACGCAGACAAUGUUUGACAUCCAGCAGCAAAUGCAAGUUUUGGAGCAAAAGUUAAGACAUAAAAAGGACAGUCUGCAAAUCACAGCAAGUCGACUAGAAAAGACAAGAACACAUGCUGACAUCCUGUGUGUUGAGGUUAACAAAGACAAAGCAAAAAAUCUGUCCCUUCAGCUUCACAAAAACAGAGACCUACUUGAGAGAGCAAAGAACACAAUUGUCAUAAAGCAAAAAGAACAACAACUGAUGGAAGAGGACAUCAAGAGACAAAUCAAAGAACUACAGUCAAGCCGGUAUGACUUGCAGAGCCAAAGACAAGAACUGGGACUUUUAAGGCAAGAUCUCAACAAUGAGAUAGAAGAGGUCCGGGCUGCAAAGGAGACCAUGAAGGUGAAAAGUGAUCAAAUAAGUCACAUGCAGACUGUCCUUGACACAGAGAGAGAAAUGCUUUGGAACCAGAAAGAUACAAUGGAAGAACAAAUAUUGAAUCUACAUAGGAGAGCUGAUCAAAUUAUGGAAUGUGAAAAGCAUCUACGGGUUCUGAGUAAAAAAAUUAAACAUGUGAGUGAGAGGAUGACUGGUGCCAUUGCAGAUAAACUUAGCAGGCUCCAAAGCGACAAUGGAAAUGUAGUGAAGAUGGUCAGUCAUUUGGAACAAGAGCAUAUCUCUCUAGAUUUCCUGAAAACACAUAUGCUUUUCUACUCUGAAAUACUGCAGAAGGCAAAGGAAGGAUACAUAUGCCUGAUAACAGACUUUGCCAGGCAACAAGAAGAAAUAAGAGAUCAACUGAUGCACCAGCUUGUAUUUGAAAAGCAAGAAAGGGAAACUCUGAAAAACUGGCUAAAGAAAGACAGAGACAAUCUGGAAAGAGAGAAAAAUGGCAUAAAUCAAGAAAAAGAAAAGUUGUUGCAGAAACAACAAGAGUAUGAAACCCUAAAAGACGAGCUGAAGAAAGACAUAGACAAUCUGGAAAGAGAUAAAAAUAGCAUACAUCGAGAAAAAGAGAACUUGUUGCAGAAACAACAAGUGUAUGAAACCCUGAAAGACGAGCUGAAGAAAGACAAAGGGAAUGUGGAAAGAGAUAAAAAUGGCAUGAAUCGAGUAAAAGAUUACUUGACGCAGAAAAUGUCCGACAUCCAGCAGCAAAUGCAAGUGUUGAAGCAAAGGUUAAGAGAUGAAAAGGACAGUCUGCAAAUCACAGCAAGUCGACUAGAAAAGACAAGAACACAUGCUGACAUCCUGUGUGUUGAGGUUAACAAAGACAAAGCAAAAAAUCUGUCCCUUCAGCUUCACAAAACCAGAGAGCUACUUGAGAAAGCUAAGAACACAAUUGUCAUAAAGCAAAAAGAACAACAACUGAUGGAAGAGGACAUCAAGAGACAAAUCAAAGAACUACAGUCAAGCCGGUAUGACUUGCAGAGCCAAAGACAAGAACUGGGACUUUUAAGGCAAGAUCUCAACACUGAGAUAGAAGAGGUCUGGGCUGCAAAGGAGACCAUGAAGGUGAAAAGUGAUCAAAUAAGUCACAUGCAGACUGUCCUUGACACAGAGAGAGAAAUGCUUUGGAACCAGAAAGAUACAAUGGAAGAACAAACAUUGAAUCUACAUAGGAGAGCUGAUCAAAUUAUGGAAUGUGAAAAGCAUCUACGGGUUCUGAGUGAAAAAAUUAAGCAUUUGAGUGAGAGGAUGACUGGUGCCAUUGCAGAUAAACUUAGCAGGCUCCAAAACGACAAUGGAAAUGUAGUGAAGAUGGUCAGUCGUUUGGAACAAGAGCAUAUCUCUCUAGAUUCCCUGAAAACACAUAUGCUUUUCUACUCUGAAAUACUGCAGAAGGCAAAGGAAGGAUACAUAUGCCUGAUAACAGACUUUGCCAGGCAACAAGAAGAAAUAAGAGAUCAACUGAUGCACCAGCUUGUAUUGGAAAAGCAAGAAAGGGAAACUCUGAAAAACUGGCUGAAGAAAGACAGAGACAAUCUGGAAAGAGAGAAAAAUGGCAUGAAUCAAGAAAAAGAAAACUUGUUGCAGAAACAACAAGAGUGUGAAACCCUAAAAGACGAGUUGAAGAAAGACAGAGACAAUCUGGAAAGGGAGAAAAAUAGCAUCCAUCUAGAAACAAGGAACUUGAUGCAGAAACAACAAGUGUAUGAAACCCUAAAAGACGAGCUGAAAAAAGACAGAGACAGUCUGGAAAGAGAGAAAAAUGGCAUGAAUCAAACGAAAGAGGACUUGAUGCAGAAACAACAAGAAUAUGAAAUCCUGAAAGACGAGCUGAAGAAAGACAAAGGGAAUGUGGAAAGAGAUAAAAAUGGCAUGAAUCAAGUAAAAGAUUACUUGAAGCAGAAAAUGUCCGACAUCCAGCAGCAAAUGCAAGUGUUGGAGCAAAAGUUAAGAGAUGAAAAGGAUAGUCUGCGAAUCACAGCAAGUCGACUAGAAAAGACAAGAACACAUGCUGACAUCCUGUUUGUUGAGGUUAACAAAGAUAAAGCAAAACAUCUGUCCCUUCAGCGUCACACAACCAGAGACCUACUUGAGAGAGCAAAGAACACAAUUGUCAUAAAGCAAAAAGAACAACAACUGAUUGAAGAGGACAUCAAGAGACAAAUCAAAGAACUACAGUCAAGCCGGUAUGACUUGCAGAGCCAAAGACAAGAACUGGGACUUUUAAGGCAAGAUCUCAACAAUGAGAUAGAAGAGGUCCGGGUCGCAAAGGAGACCAUGAAGGUAAAAAGAGACCAAAUAGGUCAUAUGCAGACUGUUCCUGACACAGAGAGAGAAAUACUUUGGAACCAGAAAGAUACAAUGGAAAAACAAAGAUUGACUCUACAUAGAAAAGCUGAUCAAAUGACAGAAUCUGAAAAGCAUCUAGGGGAUCUAAGAGAAAAAAUUAAGCAUGUGAGUGAGAGAAUGACUGGUGAUAUUGCAGAUAAACUUAGCAGGCUCCAACAGGACAAUGGAAAAGUAGUGAAGCUGGUCAGUCGUUUGGAACAAGAGCAUAUCUCUCUAGAUUCCCUGAAAACACAUAUGCUUUUCUACUCUGAAAUACUGCAGAAGGCAAAGGAAGGAUACAUAUGCCUGAUAACAGACUUUGCCAGGCAACAAGAAGAAAUAAGAGAUCAACUGAUGCACCAGCUUGUAUUGGAAAAGCAAGAAAGGGAAACUCUGAAAAACUGGCUGAAGAAAGACAGAGACAAUCUGGAAAGAGAGAAAAAUGGCAUGAAUCAAGUAAAAGAAAACUUGUUGCAGAAACAACAAGAGUGUGAAACCCUAAAAGACGAGCUGAAGAAAGACAGAGACAAUCUGGAAAGGGAGAAAAAUAGCAUUCAUCUAGAAACAAGGAACUUGAUGCAGAAACAACAAGAGUAUGAAACCCUAAAAGACGAGCUGAAAAAAGACAGAGACAGUCUGGAAAGAGAGAAAAAUGGCAUGAAUCAAACGAAAGAGGACUUGAUGCAGAAACAACAAGAAUAUGAAAUCCUGAAAGACGAGCUGAAGAAAGACAAAGGGAAUGUGGAAAGAGAUAAAAAUGGCAUGAAUCAAGUAAAAGAUUACUUGAAGCAGAAAAUGUCCGACAUCCAGCAGCAAAUGCAAGUGUUGGAGCAAAAGUUAAGAGAUGAAAAGGAUAGUCUGCGAAUCACAGCAAGUCGACUAGAAAAGACAAGAACACAUGCUGACAUCCUGUUUGUUGAGGUUAACAAAGAUAAAGCAAAACAUCUGUCCCUUCAGCGUCACACAACCAGAGACCUACUUGAGAGAGCAAAGAACACAAUUGUCAUAAAGCAAAAAGAACAACAACUGAUGGAAGAGGACAUCAAGAGACAAAUCAAAGAACUACAGUCAAGCCGGUAUGACUUGCAGAGCCAAAGACAAGAACUGGGACUUUUAAGGCAAGAUCUCAACAAUGAGAUAGAAGAGGUCCGGGUCGCAAAGGAGACCAUGAAGGUAAAAAGAGACCAAAUAGGUCAUAUGCAGACUGUUCCUGACACAGAGAGAGAAAUACUUUGGAACCAGAAAGAUACAAUGGAAAAACAAAGAUUGACUCUACAUAGAAAAGCUGAUCAAAUGACAGAAUCUGAAAAGCAUCUAGGGGAUCUAAGAGAAAAAAUUAAGCAUGUGAGUGAGAGAAUGACUGGUGAUAUUGCAGAUAAACUUAGCAGGCUCCAACAGGACAAUGGAAAAGUAGUGAAGCUGGUCAGUCGUUUGGAACAAGAGCAUAUCUCUCUAGAUUCCCUGAAAACACAUAUGCUUUUCUACUCUGAAAUACUGCAGAAGGCAAAGGAAGGAUACAUAUGCCUGAUAACAGACUUUGCCAGGCAACAAGAAGAAAUAAGAGAUCAACUGAUGCACCAGCUUGUAUUGGAAAAGCAAGAAAGGGAAACUCUGAAAAACUGGCUGAAGAAAGACAGAGACAAUCUGGAAAGAGAGAAAAAUGGCAUGAAUCAAGUAAAAGAAAACUUGUUGCAGAAACAACAAGAGUGUGAAACCCUAAAAGACGAGCUGAAGAAAGACAGAGACAAUCUGGAAAGGGAGAAAAAUAGCAUCCAUCUAGAAAAAAGGAACUUGAUGCAGAAACAACAAGAGUAUGAAACCCUAAAAGACGAGCUGAAAAAAGACAGAGACAGUCUGGAAAGAGAGAAAAAUGGCAUGAAUCAAACGAAAGAGGACUUGAUGCAGAAACAACAAGAAUAUGAAAUCCUGAAAGACGAGCUGAAGAAAGACAAAGGGAAUGUGGAAAGAGAUAAAAAUGGCAUGAAUCAAGUAAAAGAUUACUUGAAGCAGAAAAUGUCCGACAUCCAGCAGCAAAUGCAAGUGUUGGAGCAAAAGUUAAGAGAUGAAAAGGAUAGUCUGCGAAUCACAGCAAGUCGACUAGAAAAGACAAGAACACAUGCUGACAUCCUGUCUGUUGAGGUUAACAAAGAUAAAGCAAAACAUCUGUCCCUUCAGCGUCACACAACCAGAGACCUACUUGAGAGAGCAAAGAACACAAUUGUCAUAAAGCAAAAAGAACAACAACUGAUGGAAGAGGACAUCAAGAGACAAAUCAAAGAACUACAGUCAAGCCGGUAUGACUUGCAGAGCCAAAGACAAGAACUGGGACUUUUAAUGCAAGAUCUCAACACUGAGAUAGAAGAGGUCCGGGUCGCAAAGGAGACCAUGAAGGUAAAAAGAGACCAAAUAGGUCAUAUGCAGACUGUUCCUGACACAGAGAGAGAAAUACUUUGGAACCAGAAAGAUACAAUGGAAAAACAAAGAUUGACUCUACAUAGAAAAGCUGAUCAAAUGACAGAAUCUGAAAAGCAUCUAGGGGAUCUGAGAGAAAAAAUUAAGCAUGUGAGUGAGAGAAUGACUGGUGAUAUUGCAGAUAAACUUAGCAGGCUCCAACAGGACAAUGGAAAAGUAGUGAAGCUGGUCAGUCGUUUGGAACAAGAGCAUAUCUCUCUAGAUUCCCUGAAAACACAUAUGCUUUUCUACUCUGAAAUACUGCAGAAGGCAAAGGAAGGAUACAUAUGCCUGAUAACAGACUUUGCCAGGCAACAAGAAGAAAUAAGAGAUCAACUGAUGCACCAGCUUGUAUUGGAAAAGCAAGAAAGGGAAACUCUGAAAAACUGGCUGAAGAAAGACAGAGACAAUCUGGAAAGAGAGAAAAAUGGCAUGAAUCAAGAAAAAGAAAACUUGUUGCAGAAACAACAAGAGUGUGAAACCCUAAAAGACGAGCUGAAGAAAGACAGAGACAAUCUGGAAAGGGAGAAAAAUAGCAUCCAUCUAGAAAAAAGGAACUUGAUGCAGAAACAACAAGAGUAUGAAACCCUAAAAGACGAGCUGAAAAAAGACAGAGACAGUCUGGAAAGAGAGAAAAAUGGCAUGAAUCAAACGAAAGAGGACUUGAUGCAGAAACAACAAGAAUAUGAAAUCCUGAAAGACGAGCUGAAGAAAGACAAAGGGAAUGUGGAAAGAGAUAAAAAUGGCAUGAAUCAAGUAAAAGAUUACUUGAAGCAGAAAAUGUCCGACAUCCAGCAGCAAAUGCAAGUGUUGGAGCAAAAGUUAAGAGAUGAAAAGGAUAGUCUGCGAAUCACAGCAAGUCGACUAGAAAAGACAAGAACACAUGCUGACAUCCUGUCUGUUGAGGUUAACAAAGAUAAAGCAAAACAUCUGUCCCUUCAGCGUCACACAACCAGAGACCUACUUGAGAGAGCAAAGAACACAAUUGUCAUAAAGCAAAAAGAACAACAACUGAUGGAAGAGGACAUCAAGAGACAAAUCAAAGAACUACAGUCAAGCCGGUAUGACUUGCAGAGCCAAAGACAAGAACUGGGACUUUUAAUGCAAGAUCUCAACACUGAGAUAGAAGAGGUCCGGGUCGCAAAGGAGACCAUGAAGGUAAAAAGAGACCAAAUAGGUCAUAUGCAGACUGUUCCUGACACAGAGAGAGAAAUACUUUGGAACCAGAAAGAUACAAUGGAAAAACAAAGAUUGACUCUACAUAGAAAAGCUGAUCAAAUGACAGAAUCUGAAAAGCAUCUAGGGGAUCUGAGAGAAAAAAUUAAGCAUGUGAGUGAGAGAAUGACUGGUGAUAUUGCAGAUAAACUUAGCAGGCUCCAACAGGACAAUGGAAAAGUAGUGAAGCUGGUCAGUCGUUUGGAACAAGAGCAUAUCUCUCUAGAUUCCCUGAAAACACAUAUGCUUUUCUACUCUGAAAUACUGCAGAAGGCAAAGGAAGGAUACAUAUGCCUGAUAACAGACUUUGCCAGGCAACAAGAAGAAAUAAGAGAUCAACUGAUGCACCAGCUUGUAUUGGAAAAGCAAGAAAGGGAAACUCUGAAAAACUGGCUGAAGAAAGACAGAGACAAUCUGGAAAGAGAGAAAAAUGGCAUGAAUCAAGAAAAAGAAAACUUGUUGCAGAAACAACAAGAGUGUGAAACCCUAAAAGACGAGCUGAAGAAAGACAGAGACAAUCUGGAAAGGGAGAAAAAUAGCAUCCAUCUAGAAAAAAGGAACUUGAUGCAGAAACAACAAGAGUAUGAAACCCUAAAAGACGAGCUGAAGAAAGACAAAGGGAAUGUGGAAAGAGAUAAAAAUGGCAUGAAUCAAGUAAAAGAUUACUUGACGCAGAAAAUGUCCGACAUCCAGCAGCAAAUGCAAGUGUUGAAGCAAAGGUUAAGAGAUGAAAAGGACAGUCUGCAAAUCACAGCAAGUCGACUAGAAAAGACAAGAACACAUGCUGACAUCCUGUGUGUUGAGGUUAACAAAGACAAAGCAAAAAAUCUGUCCCUUCAGCUUCACAAAACCAGAGACCUACUUGAGAAAGCUAAGAACACAAUUGUCAUAAAGCAAAAAGAACAACAACUGAUGGAAGAGGACAUCAAGAGACAAAUCAAAGAACUACAGUCAAGCCGGUAUGACUUGCAGAGACAAAGACAAGAACUGGGACUUUUAAGGCAAGAUCUCAACAAUGAGAUAGAAGAGGUCCGGGCUGCAAAGGAGACCAUGAAGGUGAAAAGUGAUCAAAUAAGUCACAUGCAGACUGUCCUUGACACAGAGAGAGAAAUGCUUUGGAACCAGAAAGAUACAAUGGAAGAACAAAUAUUGAAUCUACAUAGGAGAGCUGAUCAAAUUAUGGAAUGUGAAAAGCAUCUACGGGUUCUGAAUGAAAAAAUUAAGCAUUUGAGUGAGAGGAUGACUGGUGCCAUUGCAGAUAAACUUAGCAGGCUCCAAAACGACAAUGGAAAUGUAGUGAAGAUGGUCAGUCAUUUGCAACAAGAGCAUAUCUCUCUAGAUUCCCUGAAAACACAUAUGCUUUUCUACUCUGAAAUACUGCAGAAGGCAAAGGAAGGAUACAUAUGCCUGAUAACAGACUUUGCCAGGCAACAAGAAGAAAUAAGAGAUCAACUGAUGCACCAGCUUGUAUUGGAAAAGCAAGAAAGGGAAACUCUGAAAAACUGGCUGAAGAAAGACAGAGACAAUCUGGAAAGAGAGAAAAAUGGCAUGAAUCAAGAAAAAGAAAACUUGUUGCAGAAACAACAAGAGUGUGAAACCCUAAAAGACGAGCUGAAGAAAGACAGAGACAAUCUGGAAAGGGAGAAAAAUAGCAUCCAUCUAGAAAGAAGGAACUUGAUGCAGAAACAACAAGAGUAUGAAACCCUAAAAGACGAGCUGAAAAAAGACAGAGACAGUCUGGAAAGAGAGAGAAAUGGCAUGAAUCAAAUGAAAGAGGGCUUGAUGCAGAAACAACAAGAAUAUGAAAUCCUGAAAGACGAGCUGAAGAAAGACAAAGGGAAUGUGGAAAGAGAUAAAAAUGGCAUGAAUCAAGUAAAAGAUUACUUGAAGCAGAAAAUGUCCGACAUCCAGCAGCAAAUGCAAGUGUUGGAGCAAAAGUUAAGAGAUGAAAAGGAUAGUCUGCGAAUCACAGCAAGUCGACUAGAAAAGACAAGAACACAUGCUGACAUCCUGUUUGUUGAGGUUAACAAAGAUAAAGCAAAACAUCUGUCCCUUCAGCUUCACACAACCAGAGACCUACUUGAGAGAGCAAAGAACACAAUUGUCAUAAAGCAAAAAGAACAACAACUGAUGGAAGAGGACAUCAAGAGACAAAUCAAAGAACUGCAGUCAAGCCGGUAUGACUUGCAGAGCCAAAGACAAGAACUGGGACUUUUAAGGCAAGAUCUCAACAAUGAGAUAGAAGAGGUCCGGGCUGCAAAGGAGACCAUGAAGGUGAAAAGUGAUCAAAUAAGUCACAUGCAGACUGUCCUUGACACAGAGAGAGAAAUGCUUUGGAACCAGAAAGAUACAAUGGAAGAACAAAUAUUGAAUCUACAUAGGAGAGCUGAUCAAAUUAUGGAAUGCGAAAAGCAUCUACGGGUUCUGAGUGAAAAAAUUAAGCAUGUGAGUGAGAGGAUGACUGGUGCCAUUGCAGAUAAACUUAGCAGGCUCCAAAGCGACAAUGGAAAUGUAGUGAAGAUGGUCAGUCAUUUGGAACAAGAGCAUAUCUCUCUAGAUUCCCUGAAAACACAUAUGCUUUUCUACUCUGAAAUACUGCAGAAGGCAAAGGAAGGAUACAUAUGCCUGAUAACAGACUUUGCCAGGCAACAAGAAGAAAUAAGAGAUCAACUGAUGCACCAGCUUGUAUUGGAAAAGCAAGAAAGGGAAACUCUGAAAAACUGGCUGAAGAAAGACAGAGACAAUCUGGAAAGAGAGAAAAAUGGCAUGAAUCAAGAAAAAGAAAACCUGUUGCAGAAACGACAAGAGUGUGAAACCCUAAAAGACGAGCUGAAGAAAGACAGAGACAAUCUGGAAAGGGAGAAAAAUAGCAUCCAUCUAGAAAAAAGGAACUUGAUGCAGAAACAACAAGAGUAUGAAACCCUAAAAGACGAGCUGAAAAAAGACAGAGACAGUCUGGAAAGAGAGAGAAAUGGCAUGAAUCAAAUGAAAGAGGGCUUGAUGCAGAAACAACAAGAAUAUGAAAUCCUGAAAGACGAGCUGAAGAAAGACAAAGGGAAUGUGGAAAGAGAUAAAAAUGGCAUGAAUCAAGUAAAAGAUUACUUGAAGCAGAAAAUGUCCGACAUCCAGCAGCAAAUGCAAGUGUUGGAGCAAAAGUUAAGAGAUGAAAAGGAUAGUCUGCGAAUCACAGCAAGUCGACUAGAAAAGACAAGAACACAUGCUGACAUCCUGUUUGUUGAGGUUAACAAAGAUAAAGCAAAACAUCUGUCCCUUCAGCUUCACACAACCAGAGACCUACUUGAGAGAGCAAAGAACACAAUUGUCAUAAAGCAAAAAGAACAACAACUGAUGGAAGAGGACAUCAAGAGACAAAUCAAAGAACUGCAGUCAAGCCGGUAUGACUUGCAGAGCCAAAGACAAGAACUGGGACUUUUAAGGCAAGAUCUCAACAAUGAGAUAGAAGAGGUCCGGGCUGCAAAGGAGACCAUGAAGGUGAAAAGUGAUCAAAUAAGUCACAUGCAGACUGUCCUUGACACAGAGAGAGAAAUGCUUUGGAACCAGAAAGAUACAAUGGAAGAACAAAUAUUGAAUCUACAUAGGAGAGCUGAUCAAAUUAUGGAAUGCGAAAAGCAUCUACGGGUUCUGAGUGAAAAAAUUAAGCAUGUGAGUGAGAGGAUGACUGGUGCCAUUGCAGAUAAACUUAGCAGGCUCCAAAGCGACAAUGGAAAUGUAGUGAAGAUGGUCAGUCAUUUGGAACAAGAGCAUAUCUCUCUAGAUUCCCUGAAAACACAUAUGCUUUUCUACUCUGAAAUACUGCAGAAGGCAAAGGAAGGAUACAUAUGCCUGAUAACAGACUUUGCCAGGCAACAAGAAGAAAUAAGAGAUCAACUGAUGCACCAGCUUGUAUUGGAAAAGCAAGAAAGGGAAACUCUGAAAAACUGGCUGAAGAAAGACAGAGACAAUCUGGAAAGAGAGAAAAAUGGCAUGAAUCAAGAAAAAGAAAACUUGUUGCAGAAACAACAAGAGUGUGAAACCCUAAAAGACGAGCUGAAGAAAGACAGAGACAAUCUGGAAAGGGAGAAAAAUAGCAUCCAUCUAGAAAAAAGGAACUUGAUGCAGAAACAACAAGAGUAUGAAACCCUAAAAGACGAGCUGAAAAAAGACAGAGACAGUCUGGAAAGAGAGAGAAAUGGCAUGAAUCAAAUGAAAGAGGGCUUGAUGCAGAAACAACAAGAAUAUGAAAUCCUGAAAGACGAGCUGAAGAAAGACAAAGGGAAUGUGGAAAGAGAUAAAAAUGGCAUGAAUCAAGUAAAAGAUUACUUGAAGCAGAAAAUGUCCGACAUCCAGCAGCAAAUGCAAGUGUUGGAGCAAAAGUUAAGAGAUGAAAAGGAUAGUCUGCGAAUCACAGCAAGUCGACUAGAAAAGACAAGAACACAUGCUGACAUCCUGUUUGUUGAGGUUAACAAAGAUAAAGCAAAACAUCUGUCCCUUCAGCUUCACACAACCAGAGACCUACUUGAGAGAGCAAAGAACACAAUUGUCAUAAAGCAAAAAGAACAACAACUGAUGGAAGAGGACAUCAAGAGACAAAUCAAAGAACUGCAGUCAAGCCGGUAUGACUUGCAGAGCCAAAGACAAGAACUGGGACUUUUAAGGCAAGAUCUCAACAAUGAGAUAGAAGAGGUCCGGGCUGCAAAGGAGACCAUGAAGGUGAAAAGUGAUCAAAUAAGUCACAUGCAGACUGUCCUUGACACAGAGAGAGAAAUGCUUUGGAACCAGAAAGAUACAAUGGAAGAACAAAUAUUAAAUCUACAUAGGAGAGCUGAUCAAAUUAUGGAAUGCGAAAAGCAUCUACGGGUUCUGAGUGAAAAAAUUAAGCAUGUGAGUGAGAGGAUGACUGGUGCCAUUGCAGAUAAACUUAGCAGGCUCCAAAGCGACAAUGGAAAUGUAGUGAAGAUGGUCAGUCAUUUGGAACAAGAGCAUAUCUCUCUAGAUUCCCUGAAAACACAUAUGCUUUUCUACUCUGAAAUACUGCAGAAGGCAAAGGAAGGAUACAUAUGCCUGAUAACAGACUUUGCCAGGCAACAAGAAGAAAUAAGAGAUCAACUGAUGCACCAGCUUGUAUUGGAAAAGCAAGAAAGGGAAACUCUGAAAAACUGGCUGAAGAAAGACAGAGACAAUCUGGAAAGAGAGAAAAAUGGCAUGAAUCAAGAAAAAGAAAACUUGUUGCAGAAACAACAAAAGUGUGAAACCCUAAAAGACGAGCUGAAGAAAGACAGAGACAAUCUGGAAAGGGAGAAAAAUAGCAUCCAUCUAGAAAAAAGGAACUUGAUGCAGAAACAACAAGAGUAUGAAACCCUAAAAGACGAGCUGAAGAAAGACAGAGACAAUCUGGAAAGGGAGAAAAAUAGCAUCCAUCUAGAAAAAAGGAACUUGAUGCAGAAACAACAAGAGUAUGAAACCCUAAAAGACGAGCUGAAAAAAGACAGAGACAGUCUGGAAAGACAGAAAAAUGGCAUGAAUCAAAUGAAAGAGGACUUGAUGCAGAAACAACAAGAAUAUGAAAUCCUGAAAGACGAGCUGAAGAAAGACAAAGGGAAUGUGGAAAGAGAUAAAAAUGGCAUGAAUCAAGUAAAAGAUUACUUGACGCAGAAAAUGUCCGACAUCCAGCAGCAAAUGCAAGUGUUGAAGCAAAGGUUAAAAUAUGAAAAGGACAGUCUGCAAAUCACAGCAAGUCGACUAGAAAAGACAAGAACACAUGCUGACAUCCUGUGUGUUGAGGUAAACAAACACAAAGCAAAAAAUCUGUCCCUUCAGCUUCACAAAACCAGAGACCUACUUGAGAAAGCUAAGAACACAAUUGUCAUAAAGCAAAAAGAACAACAACUGAUGGAAGAGGACAUCAAGAGACAAAUCAAAGAACUACAGUCAAGCCGGUAUGACUUGCAGAGCCAAAGACAAGAACUGGGACUUUUAAGGCAAGAUCUCAACAAUGAGAUAGAAGAGGUCCGGGCUGCAAAGGAGACCAUGAAGGUGAAAAGUGAUCAAAUAAGUCACAUGCAGACUGUCCUUGACACAGAGAGAGAAAUGCUUUGGAACCAGAAAGAUACAAUGGAAGAACAAAUAUUAAAUCUACAUAGGAGAGCUGAUCAAAUUAUGGAAUGCGAAAAGCAUCUACGGGUUCUGAGUGAAAAAAUUAAGCAUGUGAGUGAGAGGAUGACUGGUGCCAUUGCAGAUAAACUUAGCAGGCUCCAAAGCGACAAUGGAAAUGUAGUGAAGAUGGUCAGUCAUUUGGAACAAGAGCAUAUCUCUCUAGAUUCCCUGAAAACACAUAUGCUUUUCUACUCUGAAAUACUGCAGAAGGCAAAGGAAGGAUACAUAUGCCUGAUAACAGACUUUGCCAGGCAACAAGAAGAAAUAAGAGAUCAACUGAUGCACCAGCUUGUAUUGGAAAAGCAAGAAAGGGAAACUCUGAAAAACUGGCUGAAGAAAGACAGAGACAAUCUGGAAAGAGAGAAAAAUGGCAUGAAUCAAGAAAAAGAAAACUUGUUGCAGAAACAACAAGAGUGUGAAACCCUAAAAGACGAGCUGAAGAAAGACAGAGACAAUCUGGAAAGGGAGAAAAAUAGCAUCCAUCUAGAAAAAAGGAACUUGAUGCAGAAACAACAAGAGUAUGAAACCCUAAAAGACGAGCUGAAGAAAGACAGAGACAAUCUGGAAAGGGAGAAAAAUAGCAUCCAUCUAGAAAAAAGGAACUUGAUGCAGAAACAACAAGAGUAUGAAACCCUAAAAGACGAGCUGAAAAAAGACAGAGACAGUCUGGAAAGACAGAAAAAUGGCAUGAAUCAAAUGAAAGAGGACUUGAUGCAGAAACAACAAGAAUAUGAAAUCCUGAAAGACGAGCUGAAGAAAGACAAAGGGAAUGUGGAAAGAGAUAAAAAUGGCAUGAAUCAAGUAAAAGAUUACUUGACGCAGAAAAUGUCCGACAUCCAGCAGCAAAUGCAAGUGUUGAAGCAAAGGUUAAGAUAUGAAAAGGACAGUCUGCAAAUCACAGCAAGUCGACUAGAAAAGACAAGAACACAUGCUGACAUCCUGUGUGUUGAGGUAAACAAACACAAAGCAAAAAAUCUGUCCCUUCAGCUUCACAAAACCAGAGACCUACUUGAGAAAGCUAAGAACACAAUUGUCAUAAAGCAAAAAGAACAACAACUGAUGGAAGAGGACAUCAAGAGACAAAUCAAAGAACUACAGUCAAGCCGGUAUGACUGGCAGAGCCAAAGACAAGAACUGGGACUUUUAAGGCAAGAUCUCAACAAUGAGAUAGAAGAGGUCCGGGCUGCAAAGGAGACCAUGAAGGUGAAAAGUGAUCAAAUAAGUCACAUGCAGACUGUCCUUGACACAGAGAGAGAAAUGCUUUGGAACCAGAAAGAUACAAUGGAAGAACAAAUAUUGAAUCUACAUAGGAGAGCUGAUCAAAUUAUGGAAUGCGAAAAGCAUCUACGGGUUCUGAGUGAAAAAAUUAAGCAUGUGAGUGAGAGGAUGACUGGUGCAAUUGCAGAUGACCUUAGCAGGCUCCAAAACGACAAUGGAAAUGUAGUGAAGAUGGUCAGUCAUUUGCAACAAGAGCACAUCUCUCUAGAUUCCCUGAAAACACAUAUGCUUUUCUACUCUGAAAUACUGCAGAAGGCAAAGGAAGGAUACAAAUGCCUGAUAACAGACUUUGCCAGGCAACAAGAAGAAAUAAGAGAUCAACUGGUGCACCAGCUUGUAUUGAAAAAGCAAGAAAGGGAAACUCUGAAAAACUGGCUGAAGAAAGACAGAGACAAUCUGGAAAGAGAGAAAAAUGGCAUGAAUCAAGAAAAAGAAAACUUGUUGCAGAAACAACAAGAGUAUGAAACCCUAAAAGACAAGCUGAAGAAAGACAGAGACAAUCUGGAAAGGGAGAAAAAUAGCAUCCAUCUAGAAAAAAGGAACUUGAUGCAGAAACAACAAGAGUAUGAAAUCCUGAAAGACGAGCUGAAGAAAGACAAAGGGAAUGUGGAAAGAGAUAAAAAUGGCAUGAAUCAAGUAAAAGAUUACUUGAAGCAGAAAAUGUCCGACAUCCAGCAGCAAAUGCAAGUGUUGGAGCAAAAGUUAAGAGAUGAAAAGGAUAGUCUGCGAAUCACAGCAAGUCGACUAGAAAAGACAAGAACACAUGCUGACAUCCUGUGUGUUGAGGUUAACAAAGACAAAGCAAAAAAUCUGUCCCUUCAGCUUCACAAAACCAGAGACCUACUUGAGAAAGCUAAGAACACAAUUGUCAUAAAGCAAAAAGAACAACAACUGAUGGAAGAGGACAUCAAGAGACAAAUCAAAGAACUACAGUCAAGCCGGUAUGACUUGCAGAGCCAAAGACAAGAACUGGGACUUUUAAGGCAAGAUCUCAACAAUGAGAUAGAAGAGGUCCGGGCUGCAAAGGAGACCAUGAAGGUGAAAAGUGAUCAAAUAAGUCACAUGCAGACUGUCCUUGACACAGAGAGAGAAAUGCUUUGGAACCAGAAAGAUACAAUGGAAGAACAAAUAUUGAAUCUACAUAGGAGAGCUGAUCAAAUUAUGGAAUGCGAAAAGCAUCUACAGGUUCUGAGUGAAAAAAUUAAGCAUGUGAGUGAGAGGAUGACUGGUGCCAUUGCAGAUAAACUUAGCAGGCUCCAAAGCGACAAUGGAAAUGUAGUGAAGAUGGUCAGUCAUUUGGAACAAGAGCAUAUCUCUCUAGAUUCCCUGAAAACACAUAUGCUUUUCUACUCUGAAAUACUGCAGAAGGCAAAGGAAGGAUACAUAUGCCUGAUAACAGACUUUGCCAGGCAACAAGAAGAAAUAAGAGAUCAACUGAUGCACCAGCUUGUAUUGGAAAAGCAAGAAAGGGAAACUCUGAAAAACUGGCUGAAGAAAGACAGAGACAAUCUGGAAAGAGAGAAAAAUGGCAUGAAUCAAGAAAAAGAAAACUUGUUGCAGAAACAACAAGAGUGUGAAACCCUAAAAGACGAGCUGAAGAAAGACAGAGACAAUCUGGAAAGGGAAAAAAAUAGCAUCCAUCUAGAAAAAAGGAACUUGAUGCAGAAAACAACAAGAGUAUGA
rnacentral:lncRNA from 1 species